rnacentral:rRNA from 1 species
AGCAGCCGCGGUAAUUCCAGCUCCAAUAGCGUAUAUUAAAGUUGUUGCAGUUAAAAAGCUCGUAGUUGAAUUUCGGGAUCAAUGCGUCGGUCGUGCCUUCGGUACGUACUAGCGUCAUUGAUUCCUCCCUUCUGAAGAACCGUGAUGUCAUUAAUUUGGUGUUACGGGGAAUCAGGACUGUUACCUUGAAAAAGUUAGAGUGUUUAAAGCAGGCUAACGCUUGAAUACAUUAGCAUGGAAUAAUGAAAUAGGACGUUCGAACCUAUUUUGUUGGUUUCUAGGAUCGACGUAAUGAUUAAUAGGGAUAGUUGGGGGCAUUAGUAUUCAAUUGUCAGAGGUGAAAUUCUUGGAUUUAUUGAAGACUGACUACUGCGAAAGCAUUUGCCAAGGAUGUUUUCAUUAAUCAAGAACGAAAGUUAGGGGAUCGAAGACGAUCAGAUACCGUCGUAGUCUUAACCAUAAACUAUGCCGACUAGGGAUCGGAUGAUGUUAAUUUUAUAAUGACUCAUUCGGCGCCUUA